UACGAAGGGUGCAAACGUUGCUCGGAAUUAUUGGGCGUAAAGCGCACGUAGGCGGCAUUGCAAGUCGGAUGUGAAAUCCCUCGGCUUAACCAAGGAAGUGCAUCCCGAAACUGCAGUGCUUGAGUACUUAAGAGGAUCGCGGAAUUUCCGGUGUAGAGGUGAAAUUCGUAGAUAUCGGGAGGAACACCAGUGGCGAAGGCGGCGAUCUGGGAAGAUACUGACGCUGAGGUGCGAAAGCGUGGGGAGCAAACAGG
rnacentral:rRNA from 1 species